rnacentral:rRNA from 1 species
GAUGAACGCUGACAGCAUGCUUAACACAUGCCAGUCUUUGGCGAAGCUGUGCUCGCACAGCCUAGCCAAGGCGGACGGGUGAGUAACGCGUAAGGAACUUGCCCUGCAGUCAGGGAUAACAGACGGAAACGACUGAUAAGACCUGGUAAAGUCAGGCGGACUCAUGUCCAGCCUGAUGAAAAGAGAUGCUGCAGGAGAGCCUUGCGUCCUAUUAGCUUGUUGGUGGGGUAACGGCCCACCAAGGCGAUGAUAGGUAGCCGGCCUGAGAGGGUGGACGGCCACAAGGGGACUGAGAUACGGCCCUUACUACUACGGGAGGCAGCAGGGAGGAAUAUUGGACAAUGGGGGCAACCCUGAUCCAGCAAUUCUGUGUGAACGAUGAAGGUUUUCGGAAUGUAAAGUGCUUUCAGCAGGGAAGAAAAAAAUGACGGUACCUGCAGAAGAAGCGACGGCUAAAUACGUG